GUCAAGAUGGCCGAGUGGUUAAGGCGCCAGACUUAAGAUCUUCGAGAAAGGCGUGGGUUCGAACCCCACUCUUGACA
rnacentral:tRNA from 1 species